GACGAACGCUGGCGGCGUGCUUAACACAUGCAAGUCGAACGGUAAGGCUCCAGCUUGCUGGGGUACACGAGUGGCGAACGGGUGAGUAACACGUGGGUGACCUGCCCUGCACUUCGGGAUAAGCCUGGGAAACUGGGUCUAAUACCGGAUAGGACCGCACCGUGAGGGUGUGGUGGAAAGUUUUUUCGGUGUGGGAUGGGCCCGCGGCCUAUCAGCUUGUUGGUGGGGUAAUGGCCUACCAAGGCGGCGACGGGUAGCCGGCCUGAGAGGGUGGACGGCCACAUUGGGACUGAGACACGGCCCAGACUCCUACGGGAGGCAGCAGUGGGGGAAUAUUGCACAAUGGGCGGAAGCCUGAUGCAGCGACGCCGCGUGGGGGAUGACGGCCUUCGGGUUGUAAACUCCUUUCACCAUCGACGAAGGGUUUCUGACGGUAGAUGGAGAAGAAGCACCGGCUAACUACGUGCCAGC
rnacentral:rRNA from 1 species